rnacentral:rRNA from 1 species
GGUGGAUGCCUUGGCACUAAGAGCCGAUGAAAGACGUGAUAAGCUGCGAAAAGCUUCGGGGAGGAGCACAUAUCCAAUGAUCCGGAGAUAUCUGAAUGGGGAAACCCGGCAGAGGAAACCUCUGUCAGCGUGCAGUGAAUACAUAGCUGUACGUGGGGAACCCGGGGAACUGAAACAUCUAAGUACCCGGAGGAAGAGAAAGAAAAUUUAUCGAUUUCCAAAGUAGCGGCGAGCGAAAUGGAAAGAGGCCAAACCGGAGUGCGUGCACUCCGGGGUUCGGACCGCAUUUAAGAUCUGAUGAUCCUAGCAGAAAGGUUUUGGGAAAGCCUGCCGGAGAGGGUGAAAGCCCCGUAAGCGAAAGGAAAGCCAGCUGAGCGGUAUCCAGAGUACAUCGAGACACGAGAAACCUUGAUGGAAUGAGCGGGGACCACCCCGUAAGCCUAAAUACUACUUAGUGACCGAUAGCGCAUAGUACUGUGAAGGAAAGGUGAAAAGGACCCCGGGAGGGGAGUGAAAGAGAACCUGAAACCCUGUGUCUACAAGCUGUGGGACCUCUUUAUAUGAGGGACUGCGUACUUUUUGUAGAACGGUCCGGCGAGUUGUGCGUACUGGCGAGGUUAAGGACUUAAGGUCUGGAGCCGAAGUGAAAGCAAGCGUUAAUAGCGCGUCAAGUCAGUGAGUGCAGACCCGAAACCGGGUGACCUAUCCAUGUCCAGGUUGAAGCUUCCGUAAGAGGAAGUGGAGGACCGAACCCACAUCCGUUGAAAAGGGUGGGGAUGAGGUGUGGAUAGCGGAGAAAUUCCAAUCGAACCCGGAGAUAGCUGGUUCUCCUCGAAAUAGCUUUAGGGCUAGCCUCAUGAGAGUCUUAUGGAGGUAGAGCACUGAAUUGCCUAGGGGGCGUCAAAGCUUACCAAAGCAUAUCAAACUCCGAAUGCCAUCAAGAUGAUUCAUGGGAGUCAGACCAUACGAGAUAAGUUGGAUGGUCAAAAGGGAAAGAGCCCAGACCUACAGCUAAGGUCCCAAAGUGCGUGUUAAGUGGAAAAGGAUGUGGGAUUUCGAAGACAACUAGGAUGUUGGCUCAGAAGCAGCCAUACAUUCAAAGAGUGCGUAAUAGCUCACUAGUCGAGAGGUCCUGCGCCGAAAAUGUCCGGGGCUAAAACACGACACCGAAGCUUAGGAAUGUAUGUAAAUACAUUGGUAGAGGAGCAAUCUUAACGGGAAGAAGCGGUACUGUAAGGUAUUGUGGACUGUUAAGAAGAGAGAAUGCCGGAAUGAGUAGCGAGAUGGAGGUGGGAAUCCUCCAGGCCGAAUAUCUAAGGUUUCCAGAGUAAAGCUGAUCUGCUCUGGGUAAGUCGGGACCUAAGGCGAGGUCGAAAGACGUAGUCGAUGGAUAACAGGUUGAAAUUCCUGUACCGCAUAUAAACAGAACUGUGGGGACACAGACAGGGAAUGGAAUCCGGGAAUGGAUAUCCCGGUGCAAGCGAGGUAGGAGUGCUGUUGGCAAAUCCGCAGCACGAUCUGAAGACGUGACGCGUACCGAACAUAAGUAGGGAAGUCCAGGCCCCUGGCUGUCAAGAAAAGCCGCUAUUGUUUUAUAUGUGCCCGUACCGCAAACCGACACAGGUGGAUGAGGAGAGAAUCCUAAGGCCGACGGGAGAAGUAUUGUUAAGGAACUCGGCAAAAUGACUCCGUAACUUCGGGAGAAGGAGUGCCAUGAGAGUGGCCGCAGAGAAAUGGCCCAAGCAACUGUUUAGCAAAAACACAGGUCUAUGCAAAACCGCAAGGUGAAGUAUAUGGGCUGACGCCUGCCCGGUGCUGGAAGGUUAAGGGGAGAGGUUAGCGCAAGCGAAGCUUUGAACUUAAGCCCCAGUAAACGGCGGCCGUAACAAUAACGGUCCUAAGGUAGCGAAAUUCCUUGUCGGGUAAGUUCCGACCCGCACGAAAGGCGUAAUGAUUUGAGCGCUGUCUCGACAAUGCACCCGGUGAAAUUGAAGUACCAGUGAAGAUGCUGGUUACCUGCGCCAGGACGGAAAGACCCCAUGGAGCUUUACUCCAGCUUGAUACUGGGAUUCGGUAUUGUAUGUACAGGAUAGGUGGGAGGCUUUGAAGUGGUUACGCCAGUAGCCAUGGAGCCGCUGUUGGGAUACCACCCUUGCAGUACUGGGUUUCUAACCAGCAGCCGUGACCCGGCUGGGGGACAAUGUCAGGUGGGGAGUUUGACUGGGGCGGUCGCCUCCGAAAGGGUAUCGGAGGCGCUCAAAGGUUCCCUCAGAAUGGU